rnacentral:misc_RNA from 1 species
AACACUGUUAACCUGCGGUACCUGCGGAAGGAUCAUUACAGAGUUCGUGCCCUCGCGGGUAGAUCUCCCACCCUUUGUGUAUUCCUUACAUUUGUUGCUUUGGCAGGCCGUUGGUUCGCCAACCACCGGCUUUACGGGCUGGUGCGUGCCUGCCAGAGGACCCCCCAAACUCGGUUUGUUAGUGUCGUCUGAGUACCAUAACAAUCGUUAAAACUUUUAACAAUGGAUCUCAGAUCGGAA